rnacentral:rRNA from 1 species
UACAGAGGUCCCAAGCGUUGUUCGGAUUCACUGGGCGUAAAGGGUGCGUAGGUGGCCAGGUAAGUUUGGUGUGAAAGCUCGGAGCUUAACUCCGAAAAGUCAUUGAAUACUAUCUGGCUGGAGGGUCGGAGGGGAGACUGGAAUUCUCGGUGUAGCAGUGAAAUGCGUAGAUAUCGAGAGGAACACCAGUGGCGAAGGCGAGUCUCUGGACGACUCCUGACACUGAGGCACGAAAGCUAAGGGGGAGCAAACCAGG